GAAAGCUGUCAUUAAACCUGUGCAGCAGAUAAUGGACCGGGCCAGCAUGGUUCUCCCCAGUUGUUAAGAAUCAGUCAUCUGCCGCUGUCAGGAGUCUGCUGAGUCCUUCAGGACCGCUUAUCUCUGCAGCUUUGAAGACAAGCUCUGAUCCUAGAAGACAAAGACAUGCUAGUAGAUCCCAUUUUCUCAGGCCUGCCUUUUUGGGGGGGAGAAUGUUUGCUUUAGUGAAGUUUUGAAGUGGAUCGAUCUCUUAAUAUUUAAGAGAAAAAAAGAUUUAAUUGUGAAAGAUUUUGUCGCUUAUUUUUCUGUUUUGCAGAUUAGUGUUGAGGCUGCUGGCCUUGGUCUCAUUAAACACUCAAACAAACUCCUCAUUGUUUUUUUUUUUUUUUAUUACAAGCCCAUUUUAACGCACAUAUAACCCUGUCCUCUUUAAUCUCUUGUUUCUGGGGGUUCAGAAAAGUUUUUCUGGGAGAAAUGUUUGUGUCUUGAAACAAACAAACAAACCCAAUUUCAACAAUUAAGCUGUAAAAAUAAGGAAAGAUGUAUUUCCAUGUUACUUAAAUCACAAACUUUGUAAAAAUAUGCAUAUGCUCCUUUAAAAUUUAAAAAACAACACCAAAAUAUUUUUCUUUUUUUUACCUGGAGCUCUUUGUGGUCACCUUGUUGGAGGUAAAACAGGAUUUUAUGUCUGACAUGUUUUAUUACCAUUUUCAUUUUUCAGAGAAUAAAUUAAAAAGUGUUUUAGCUACACUCAAAAAAAUGAUUCAAGCCCCUCUUAAAGGUGACACAUUAAGAUUUAAUUCAUUUUGCUCAAAUUCAGUAGUUAAUCAGAAAAUUAUUUAUAUCUCAUUCAUGUUAACUAAAGUUAUUUGAUAGCAAAGAGCCUCUGAUCCAUUAACUCAAAAUUAUUCAGUUUUAUUUUGUCCGCCUCCCCGUGCGCAUGCGCAUGUGGUUCAACGGUCUCUCCCUUCCUCCAUGUCUCCUUCCCGCACUAUCAGAAGCUGCACGUCGGACUUCGGGUUUGAAAAUAGAACUAAUUCCUGAGUGAUCAUCACUGUUACCAGGAGUUAUCUGUGGCAACCUCCUUGUAAUAGUUGAUGUCUGGACUUGCAAAGCAUGCAGUUUGGAGUCAUCUAGCAGUGUGACGACAUUGACACAAGGAGGAGCAUGUUCCCAAAGGUUUGGCGAUCUACUUGACUGAAGAUCCAGACUCUUUCUUCAAGGAAUAUUUUGUAAGUUUAUCUUUCUUUAUUACCCAGCUUGAAACAGACCAUUUCACACCAAAAUGUUGUUUGAUGAGACACUGUAAUCAAUUGGUUCAAACCUAUGUCUUAUUCUUAAGAAUGCAUCAUGUCUGGAUCAUCUGAAGGUACUCAUAAGAACCUGACACUGGAGGUCACUUUAUAAUGACCAGGUUUGAAUGUUUAGGGAUUGUGGUCACUUUUGCUUUUGGAGAAGUAAAACAAAAAUGGAGCCACCUGUAGAUUUUUUUGUUUUUAAUAGUUAUUUGUUGUGUUUCAGACCUCUUCCACUGAAAACGACAUCGCAGAAAGCAUUCCAGCUACGGUCAGCCAUCUCAGAAGAAAUGGGAUUGGAUGUUGCUGUUGGAAUUGAAGGUGUCCAAGACCUCAGGAACACACAUUAGACACAUUAGAAGAACUCCUUUUCUACCAAACUAAAUUGUGGUAAUUGGCUUUGAGGUCUUUUGAAUUCCUACAAAUCCUAUAGUUUUUGCAAUUUCUUUUUCUCCUUUUUUAUUUCCCUUUUUCAAGAUCUGCUUAAAAUCUUGUAGAAAAAAAACUGGUUUUAGUUUAAAGUCCACAUUUUAUAUUUGAAAAAAAAAGUGUAUAUAUUACAAAUUGAUUUUUAAACUGUCAGGGUAUGCAUCUUCAUAUAUUGUGGAGACUGAGUUUUAUCCUCAGUUUAUUUUUACAUAUUUUCAUUCUUCAGAAGUGCUUCUAUUUUUCUUUUAUUUUGAAAUAUUAAUUUUAUAUCUAAAGUCAAUUGUAUGUUGGCACACUUUUGAAAGGGUUUCCUUGAACAUGUAAUUGUAUUUUUCAGAACUGCAUUUCAGAGACUAAAUAAUGUUGUUUUGCUGUACUUGAAUAUAAAUAAAAUUGAGUUAAUCAAAUCAA